rnacentral:rRNA from 1 species
AGCGAACGCUGGCGGCAGGCCUAACACAUGCAAGUCGAACGAAGUCUUCGGACUUAGUGGCGGACGGGUGAGUAACACGUGGGAACGUGCCUUUAGGUUCGGAAUAACUCAGGGAAACUUGUGCUAAUACCGAAUGUGCCCUUCGGGGGAAAGAUUUAUCGCCUUUAGAGCGGCCCGCGUCUGAUUAGCUAGUUGGUGAGGUAAAGGCUCACCAAGGCUACGAUCAGUAGCUGGUCUGAGAGGAUGACCAGCCACAUUGGGACUGAGACACGGCCCAAACUCCUACGGGGGGCAGCAGUGGGGAAUCUUGCGCAAUGGGCGAAAGCCUGACGCAGCCAUGCCGCGUGGAUGAUGAAGUUCUUAGGAUUGUAAAAUCCUUUAACCGGUGAAGACAAUGACUGUAGCCGGAGAAGAAGCCCCGGCUAACUUCGUGCCAGCCGCCGCCGUAAAAC